rnacentral:lncRNA from 1 species
GUGGGGAAGGCUGACUUCUGUCUUAAAGGCUUACUCUGGAUCAUAAUGUUGAGUGAAGGCUGUCAGGAGACAAAGAGGAUAAAAUGAGAAGAUAGCAAUCUGCAAACCAAGAAGCAGACCCUCAUCAGACACUGGCACCUUGAUUUUGGACUUCCCAGCCUCCAGAACUAAACAGGGUUUCACCAUGUUGCCCAGGCUGGUCUCCAACUCCUGAGCUCAGGCAAUCUGCCCACCUCGGCCUCCCAAAGUGCUGGGAUUACAGAACUUUACGAUCCUACAGGACUGGAUCAUAGAGCUGUGAACAUGCACUAUUCCUCAAAACAAGAGAAGAAAGAACCCAAAACCCAAAAAUGAUUUGAAGAUCAUCAGGCCACCACUCCCACCAUAGGAACAGAGGACCUAACUUGGGGAACAGGGCGGCUGCCUCUGCCUCAGUUUCAAAGAGCAGGACCAGUGCCCAAUGGAGCCAUCGGUGCAGCGCCACCUGUAGCAGCAGAGGCACAGCACUACUCAGCAGAGCCACUGAGGUAUAACUUCAGCCUGGCAGAGCCAUGGGUGUGUGGCCCCCACCAGACAGAGCCACACAGGCAGGACUGCUACCCCAGUGGGUCCCAGAAGGCAGAGCAUUGAGCCAAAGAAGCUCUUCAAGCCUUAACGUCUUACGAAUUUUGCCUUGAUAGGUUUGGGACUUUCUUGGGACUCCAUCAUCCCUUUCUUCUUUCCUAUUUCUCCUUUUUGGGAUGGGAAUAUUUAUCCUAUCCCUUUCCCACAAUUUUAUUUUGGAAACACGCAACUAAUUUGAUUUCACAAGUUCACAGCUGGAGAGGAAUUUUGCCUCACAAUGAAUCUUACCUCUAUUCUUAUUCAUAUCUCAUUUAGAUGAGACUUUGGGCUUUAAACUUUAGAGUUCAGGCUGCAAUGAGUUAAGACUUUUGAGGCUGUUGAGUUGGAAUGAAUGUAUUUUGCAUAUGAGAUGGGCAGGAGUUUUGGGGGUCCAGUGGCAGAAUGCUAUAGACUGAAUUGUUGUGUCCCAGCAAAUUCAUAUGUUGAAAUUCUAACCUCCAGUGUGAUUGUAUUAAGAGGUAGGGACCUUUGGGAGGUAAUUAGGUCAUGAGGGUGGAACCCUCAUGAAUGGCAUUAAUACCCUUAUAAGAAAAGACAUGAAAGUGUGAUCUCACUCUCUUUCUUUCUUCCCACCAUGUGAGAAUGCAACAGCAAGACAGCCGUCUACAAACCAGGAAGAGUGCCCUCGCCAGAAAAUGGAUUUGCUGGCACUUUGAUAUUGGAAUUCCCAGCCCCCAGGACUGUGAGAAAUAAAUUUCUGUCAUUUAAGCCA